rnacentral:rRNA from 1 species
UACGUAGGGUGCAAGCGUUAAUCGGAAUUACUGGGCGUAAAGCGUGCGCAGGCGGUUAUGUAAGACAGAUGUGAAAUGCCCGGGCUUAACCUGGGAACUGCAUUUGUGACUGCAUGGCUAGAGUUUGGCAGAGGGGGGUAGAAUUCCACGUGUAGCAGUGAAAUGCGUAGAUAUGUGGAGGAACACCGAUGGCGAAGGCAGCCCCCUGGGUCGAAGACUGACGCUCAUGCACGAA